GCGGAAGUGGCGAAAUUGGCAGACGCACUGGAUUUAGGUUCCAGCGCCGCGAGGCGUGUGGGUUCAAGUCCCACCUUCCGCACCA
rnacentral:tRNA from 1 species